UCCUGGUGCGCUUAAUGGAUAAAGCGCCGGUCUACGGAACCGGAGAUUCCAGAUUUGAUCCCUGAUAGGCUCGGGAU